AUUGAACGCUGGCGGCAGGCUUAACACAUGCAAGUCGAGCGGGGUGAUGGUGCUUGCACUAUCACUUAGCGGCGGACGGGUGAGUAAUGCUUAGGAAUCUGCCUAUUAGUGGGGGACAACAUCUCGAAAGGGAUGCUAAUACCGCAUACGUCCUACGGGAGAAAGCAGGGGAUCACUUGUGACCUUGCGCUAAUAGAUGAGCCUAAGUCGGAUUAGCUAGUUGGUGGGGUAAGGGCCUACCAAGGCGACGAUCUGUAGCGGGUCUGAGAGGAUGAUCCACCACACUGGGACUGAGACACGGCCCAGACUCCUACGGGAGGCAGCAGUGGGGAAUAUUGGACAAUGGGGGGAACCCUGAUCCAGCCAUGCCGCGUGUGUGAAGAAGGCCUUAUGGUUGUAAAGCACUUUAAGCGAGGAGGAGGCUCUUUUGGUUAAUACCCAAGAUGAGUGGACGUUACUCGCAGAAUAAGCACCGGCUAACUCUGUGCCAGCCGCCGCCGUAA
rnacentral:rRNA from 1 species